UACGAAGGGGGCUAGCGUUGCUCGGAAUCACUGGGCGUAAGCGCACGUAGGCGGAUUGUUAAGUCAGGGGUGAAAUCCUGGAGCUCAACUCCAGAACUGCCUUUGAUACUGGCGAUCUCGAGUCCGGGAGAGGUGAGUGGAACUGCGAGUGUAGAGGUGAAAUUCGUAGAUAUUCGCAAGAACACCAGUGGCGAAGGCGGCUCACUGGCCCGGUACUGACGCUGAGGUGCGAAAGCGUGGGGAGCAAACAGG
rnacentral:rRNA from 1 species